rnacentral:rRNA from 1 species
GUGGGGAAUCUUGCGCAAUGGGCGAAAGCCUGACGCAGCGACGCCGCGUGCGGGAAGAAGGCCUUCGGGUUGUAAACCGCUUUCAGGAGGGACGAAGCUACUCGGGUUAACAGCCCAGAGGGUGACGGUACCUCCAGAAGAAGCCCCGGCUAACUACGUGCCAGCAGCCGCGGUAAUACGUAGGGGGCAAGCGUUGUCCGGAUUCAUUGGGCGUAAAGCGCGUGUAGGCGGUUCGGCAGGUCCGAUGUGAAAACUCGAUGGCUCAACCUCGAGACGUCAUUGGAAACCGCCGGGCUAGAGUCCGGGAGAGGAGAGUGGAAUUCCUGGUGUAGCGGUGAAAUGCGCAGAUAUCAGGAAGAACACCAAUGGCGAAGGCAGCUCUCUGGAACGGUACUGACGCUGAGACGCGAAAGCGUGGGGAGCGAACAGGAUUAGAUACCCUGGUAGUCC